UACGGAGGGGGCUAGCGUUGUUCGGAAUUACUGGGCGUAAAGCGCACGUAGGCGGCUUUGCAAGUUAGAGGUGAAAGCCCGGGGCUCAACUCCGGAAUUGCCUUUAAAACUGCAUCGCUAGAAUUGUGGAGAGGUAAGUGGAAUUCCGAGUGUAGAGGUGAAAUUCGUAGAUAUUCGGAAGAACACCAGUGGCGAAGGCGACUUACUGGACACAUAUUGACGCUGAGGUGCGAAAGCGCGGGGAGCGAACAGG
rnacentral:rRNA from 1 species